rnacentral:rRNA from 1 species
UACAGAGGUGGCAAGCGUUGUUCGGAAUUACUGGGCGUAAAGGGCGCGUAGGCGGCCUUCUAAGUCAGACGUGAAAUCCCCCGGCUUAACCUGGGAACUGCGUCUGAUACUGGGAGGCUUGAGUAUGGGAGGGGGAUGUAGAAUUCCAGGUGUAGCGGUGAAAUGCGUAGAUAUCUGGAGGAACACCAAUGGCGAAGGCAGCACUCUGGGACGUGACUGACGCUGAGACGCGAAAGCGUGGGGAGCAAACAGG